GAUACUGCAGCUGGUUCUGGAGGGCAGAAGGGUAUCUGGUAUCCAGGCCAGAGGUGAAGCAGCGGGCCCCAGGCGACACAGCAGCAGUGCGGUUGCCGGGAAUGGCUUAAAGACGACUGAAUUCUGACCGGGAUUCCCUGAGCCCUUGGGAUCCCAGAGCUAUCUUCUCUGAAUUGAAAUACUCCCUCCUAGAGGGAGAGGGAGGCUCAAAACUCAGCAAGUCCAUGACACAAGGCUCAAGAAGCAAGAUUCACCAGGCCCCUCCCCAGGUUACAAUGGAUGGGUGAGGAGGCUCCGGGAGGUGCAACUUUAGAGAUGCUGCCUUGUGUCAGUGACUCUUCACCCAUGCUCUGUAAGGAAGCCCCAUAAACUCAUUGCUCUCUAAAUUGGGCUUUGGUGGAGUAGAUUAUGGAUGUUUUGUUUUGUUUUUUAACUUUGUAGACCAGGCUGGCCUGGAACUCACAGAGAUCCUGCCUCUGACACGGAACACUGGGAUUAAAGCUCUUCGACCUCGUGCUUGGUCUUCACCACCUCAGCCUCCAUGGAGUCCAGCCGGUUCUCCAAGCUGAGACUCUCCUCCUGGCGCACGGAGAAGGGGAAGGCCUGUGACCGCUGCCCCUGGCCGGAUUCGCCCUCCUCACCUGACUCUGUCUGCAAAGUCUUACCUGCAGGUACGGCUUCUCUGACUUCCACUCCUGAAUGAGUUCGUGGACCAUUUUCGUAUCUCCCUGCCAAGGAGAGGAGCCCAGUCACUUCCUCAGGCCUGGGGUUUGCCUCCCCAAGCCUGCCACUCACCUGUGCGCC